rnacentral:rRNA from 1 species
ACGCUGGCGGCGUGCCUAACACAUGCAAGUCGAGCGGAGUUAACAAGAGGAAGUUUCGGAUGGAAUUUGUUAAUUAGCGGCGGACGGGUGAGUAACGCGUGAGCGACCAACCUUGCACAGGGGGAUAACGGACCGAAAGGUUCACUAAUACCGCAUGAGACCACGGUGUUGCAUGACACAGAGGUCAAAGGAGCAAUCCGGUGCAAGACGGGCUCGCGUCCGAUUAGGUAGUUGGUGGGGUAAUGGCCCACCAAGCCUAUGAUCGGUAGCCGACCUGAGAGGGUGAUCGGCCACAUUGGAACUGAGAUACGGUCCAAACUCCUACGGGAGGCAGCAGUGGGGAAUAUUGGGCAAUGGGGGGAAAAACCCCUGACCCAGCAACGCCGCGUGAAGGAAGAAGGUUUUCGGAUUGUAAACUUCUGUCCUUGGUGAAGAGAAGAAGACGGUAGCCAAGGAGGAAGCCCCGGCUAACUACGUGCCAGCAGCCGC